rnacentral:rRNA from 1 species
GAUGAACGCUGGCGGCGUGCCUAAUACAUGCAAGUCGAGCGCUCGGACGUGAUGCUUGUUUCUCUUAUGUUAGCGGCGGACGGGUGAGUAACACGUGGAUAACCUACCUUUAAGCCUGGGAUAACUUCGGGAAACCAGUGCUAAUACCGGAUGAUAUUUUUAACCGCAUGGUUCAAAAUUGAAAGACGCUCUUGCUUCCCCUUAUAGAUGUCUCCGCGCUGCUUUAGUUCUUUGUUAAGUAAAUGCUUUACCAAGCCAACGAUGCAUAGCGAACCUGAGAGGGGGAGGGGCAACACGGGAACGGGGACACGGUCCAGACUCCAACGGGAGGCAGCGGAAGGGAAUCUUGCGAAAGGGGCGAAGGCCGGACGGAGCAACGCCGCGUGAGUGAGGAAGGUCUUCGGAUCGAAAAACUCUGUGAUUAGGGAGGAACAUAGGGGUAAGGAACUGUGCACAACGUGACGGUACCUAAUCAGAAAGCGACGGCUAACUACGUG